GACGAACGCUGGCGGCGCGCUUAACACAUGCAAGUCGAACGGAGGUCCUUCGGGGCUUCAGUGGCGAACGGGUGCGUAACACGUGAGCAACCUGCCCUUGUACGGGGGAUAACCAGGGGAAACUCUGGCUAAUACCGCAUGAUAUCUUUGUUCCUUCGGGGGUGGAGAUCAAAGCUGCUUUCGGGCAGUGUGCGAGGAGGGGCUCGCGGCGUAUCAGCUAGUUGGUAGGGUAAUGGCCUACCAAGGCGAUGACGCGUAGGGGGUCUGAGAGGAUGGCCCCCCACAUUGGGACUGAGAUACGGCCCAGACUCCUACGGGAGGCAGCAGUGGGGAAUCUUGCGCAAUGGCCGAAAGGCUGACGCAGCGACGCCGCGUGCGGGAGGACGCUUUUCGGAGUGUAAACCGCUGUCGGGUGGGACGAAGGUCCUGGGGAGGUAAUGCCCUGGGGAUGACGGUACCACCAAAGGAAGCACCGGCUAACUCCGUGCCAGCAGCCGCGGUAAUACGGAGGGUGCGAGCGUUGUUCGGAAUUAUUGGGCGUAAAGGGCACGUAGGCGGCCUUGUAAGUCUCACUGUGAAAGCCCGGGGCUCAACCCCGGGAGGCCAGGGGAUACUGCGGGGCUAGAGACAAGUAGAGGUUGGUAGAAUUCCGGGUGUAGCGGUGGAAUGCGUAGAGAUCCGGAGGAAUACCAGAGGCGAAGGCGGCCAACUGGACUUGUUCUGACGCUGAGGUGCGAAAGCGUGGGGAGCGAACAGGAUUAGAUACCCUGGUAGUCCACGCCGUAAACGAUGGGCACUAGAUGCCGGAGGGAACGACCCCGUCGGUGUCGAAGCUAACGCAUUAAGUGCCCCGCCUGGGGAGUACGGCCGCAAGGCUG
rnacentral:rRNA from 1 species